GUGCUUAACACAUGCAAGUCGAACGAGCACCCUUGACUGAGUUUUGCCAAAUGAUAGGAAUGCUUAGUGCGGACUGGUGAGUAACGCGUGAGGAACCUGCCUUCCAGAGGGGGACAACGAGUUGGUAAACGACUGCUAAUACCGCAUGAUAUAGUUUGAGGGGCAUCCCCUUGGAUAUCAAAGAUUUUAUCGCUGGAAGAUGGCCUCGCGUCUGAUUAGCUAGAUGGUGGGGUAACGGCCCACCAUGGCGACGAUCAGUAGCCGGACUGAGAGGUUGACCGGCCACGAUUGGGACUGAGAUACGGCCCAGACUCCUACGGGAGGCAGCGAGUGGGGAAUAUUGGGCAAGUGGACGCAAGUCUGACCCAGCAACGCCGCGUGAAGGAAGUAAGGCUUUUCGGGUUGUAAACUUCUUUUGUCAGGGAACAGUAGAAGAGGGUACCUGACGAAUAAGCCACGGCUAACUACGUGCCAGCAGCCGCGGUAA
rnacentral:rRNA from 1 species